GUUAAUCGGGGCAGGGUAAGUCGACCCCUAAGGCGAGGCCGAAAGGCGUAGUCGAUGGGAAACGGGUUAAUAUUCCCGUACUUCUUACAAUUGCGAUGGGGGGACGGAGAAGGCUAGGUGGGCCUGGCGACGGUUGUCCAGGUUCAAGUGCGUAGGCUUGAGAGUUAGGUAAAUCCGGCUCUCUCUAAGGCUGAGACACGACGUCGAGCACCUACGGGUGUGAAGUCAUUGAUGCCAUGCUUCCAGGAAAAGCCUCUAAGCUUCAGAUUGUAAGGAAUCGUACCCCAAACCGACACAGGUGGUCGGGUAGAGAAUACCAAGGCGCUUGAGAGAACUCGGGUGAAGGAACUAGGCAAAAUGGUACCGUAACUUCGGGAGAAGGUACGCUCCUGUCGGUGAAGUCCCUUGCGGAUGGAGCUAACGGGAGUCGCAGAUACCAGGUGGCUGCAACUGUUUAUUAAAAACACAGCACUGUGCAAAAUCGUAAGAUGACGUAUACGGUGUGACGCCUGCCCGGUGCCGGAAGGUUAAUUGAUGGGGUUAGACGUAAGUCGAAGCUCUUGAUCGAAGCCCCGGUAAACGGCGGCCGUAACUAUAACGGUCCUAAGGUAGCGAAAUUCCUUGUCGGGUAAGUUCCGACCUGCACGAAUGGCGUAAUGAUGGCCACGCUGUCUCCACCCGAGACUCAGUGAAAUUGAAAUCGCUGUGAAGAUGCAGUGUACCCGCGGCUAGACGGAAAGACCCCGUGAACCUUUACUACAGCUUGGCACUGAACAUUGACCCUACAUGUGUAGGAUAGGUGGGAGGCUUUGAAACCGGUACGCCAGUAUCGAUGGAGCCGUCCUUGAAAUACCACCCUUGUAGUGUUGAUGUUCUAACUUAGACCCGUUAUCCGGGUUGAGGACAGUGCCUGGUGGGUAGUUUGACUGGGGCGGUCUCCUCCCAAAGAGUAACGGAGGAGCACGAAGGUGGGCUAAUCACGGUUGGACAUCGUGAGGUUAGUGCAAUGGCAUAAGCCCGCUUGACUGCGAGAAUGACAAUUCGAGCAGGUGCGAAAGCAGGUCAUAGUGAUCCGGUGGUUCUGUAUGGAAGGGCCAUCGCUCAACGGAUAAAAGGUACUCCGGGGAUAACAGGCUGAUACCGCCCAAGAGUUCAUAUCGACGGCGGUGUUUGGCACCUCGAUGUCGGCUCAUCACAUCCUGGGGCUGAAGUCGGUCCCAAGGGUAUGGCUGUUCGCCAUUUAAAGUGGUACGCGAGCUGGGUUUAGAACGUCGUGAGACAGUUCGGUCCCUAUCUGCCGUGGGCGUUGGAAGAUUGAAGGGGGCUGCUCCUAGUACGAGAGGACCGGAGUGGACGAACCUCUGGUGUUCGGGUUGUCAUGCCAAUGGCAUUGCCCGGUAGCUAAGUUCGGAAUCGAUAACCGCUGAAAGCAUCUAAGCGGGAAGCGAGCCCUGAGAUGAGUCUUCCCUGACCCCUUGAGGGUCCUAAAGGGUUGUUCGAGACUAGAACGUUGAUAGGCAGGGUGUGUAAGCGUUGUGAGGCGUUGAGCUAACCUGUACUAAUUGCCCGUGAGGCUUAACCAU
rnacentral:rRNA from 1 species